GUCAUUUCCAACUUCAGCAGAGUCAGCCUUGAGGAAAGCACUGGCCUCAUCCUGAGCACUAUCCUGGACUCAGAUUGCACAGUAACAAGGAAUUCCUGGCACCAUGGUACAGUAAACAGUUCUCCCAUGUCCAGGAUGUAACACCAGAACAGAUGAUAAUAAAUAAGCCACUUCAACAGGGCUGUGAAAAAUGAUCCGUGACAUAUCUGCGGAGAAGCAAAUGUCAUCUCGGAACAGGCUUGUCUGGAUGCCUACAGGAGAGCUCACAAACCGUCUGGCUCAAGUUUGCAGCCCACUAUGAGCACAGUGCUGUGAGCAGAUUGGUGCCUGACUAAUUUUGCACAGCGGUUCUCUACCUACCGAGUGCUCUUUCAAGCUAUUAGCGUCACAGAAUAUCAAACGGGCUGUCACAAAGCUGUUUAUUAACCAACUCCCAAAUCCAGGCAGGUAUCCAGCAGUAGCCGAGUACUGAUAUAUGCACACACAAACACUACUUCUCUAGUAGGCCAGCUCACUGCAUCUAAUUCAGGACAGAGUUCUGAAGAACCUUCACAAGAUCUCCCAUAGUAUACACUGGCACUCAAUCAGUAAGAGCAACUUGUGCAACAGCAGGACUCCAACUCAUGAUCUGCAGAGGAGGAAUCAAUGCUCCAGGGAAUUACAUACUGUUGCCAUGUCUAUGCACCAGGCUGGAGGUAUACAAGUCCUAGACUCUCCCAGUUGUAACUAUCUUUUUAUUUGAUAGAGCUCCAAGUUCCAACUUUAAGGACUUGCUAGUUUUCUGUAUUGUUGGAAGGGAACAGAAGAAUAUAAUCAGUGCAUGCAGGAGUUUGCGACCUGUUUUCCUGACUCUCUGAGCAGUGCAUCUUAACUGUACUACAGCAAAGAGCCUUGAGAUGUGGACCUAAGUAUGGAGAGGAGAAGAUACUAUUAUCAGCAGCUCUCUUUGGCACUGUAUUCUUCAUGCAUCACCUUCCUGGUAUUUUAAGAAGUUAAAAAAAAAGAGAGAGACAGAGAGAGAGAGUGAAAGAGAUAGAAAGAGAGAUCUCCAUUUUAUUUAACAAUCACCUGUGGACCAUAGGAG
rnacentral:lncRNA from 1 species